rnacentral:lncRNA from 1 species
AGAUUUAUCAAUUUAUGCUCCUCUGGUACUGAAAAUGCAGAUUCAUAUUUAGGGAACACAUUCAAAGUAUGUCUAUCUUUGCAGCUCAGAAAUGCAGAAGCAUAAAUAAGCCAAUUAAUUAGAACAUAAUGUUUAAUAACCUAUACAGCGUAAAUAUGAUCAGUGAUUUUUACUACCAUGGUAAUCAUUGUUUUAGCAUUCAGUUAUACAGAAUAAUGUAUUAUAGUGAGAUUCGGUUCACUUACCACAAAAAGCGAGCAGAAGAAGUCAUAUGGGGAGAAGGUGAACAGGCAACAGCAACUGCAGCUGAUUCCAGAAGCUCAUGCUGCCACUUGUCUGGUGUGAACCAGAACUGGUGAAUGAAAUCAUUAUUCAUCUUCCUCCUUGCAAUUUCAGUUCUCGCUUUUUCUAAAAGCAUUGCCAACAGAUCUAAGUAAUGAACUUCCUGUGGCCCAGGCUCAGAUUCGGAUUUUUCUUGAUUAAUUGCAUAUGAAAGGAUCAUCUGCCAUUGCUCAGAGAAAUAUUCAUCAUUGAGCAAUGCAAGCAAUAGAUCAAGUCGAGCAUUGGGGGAGGAAUUAUAUUCAAGCAAACACCAAGGAACAAAUGUUCCUUCGAAAACUUGCAUGAAAAGCUCUGGUCCCAAUUCUUUGUCUUUGUGGGCAGGUACAUAAUAGGAGGAAUUCGCUUCAUUGGAGAUGCAAAGUUCUUGGACUAUCUUCUGCGGGCCAAAUAAUGAAACUGCAACUGAUAAAAGUCUCACACCAUCUGGUGUGUCCUGAGAUCAAGAGAAAAUUUAAGAGUAAAUAUUUGAGUAAGAAUGUGAUAUUAAACAACAAUAUGAAAGAAAGAGAAAGUUGUCAACUUAAAAACAAAAUACGAGCUCUCUUUGAGGAUUCGGAAACAAAAUUGAAAAAAAUCAUAAAAAUCUACAAAUACAAUUCUUGCUAAGCAUUUUAAGGGUUAAGUUGAGCAACAUUAACUUACAUGAGAUCUUAUCAACGGGAAAGACUUCGCCAACAUUGGUCCCACUACAUAAACCAAGGGCCAACUUUCACCUUUUCGCACAGAAUGUUUUUCCAGCAGUGACAAGAACUUAAUGACCUGUUCUACAUUCUCAGUAGUACUUUCUGUGUUUCCCAUUGGCUGAAACAUCCGGAGGCAGUUUUCCUUAAAUACCACAGAGAAAGUAGAAAGCAGAUCAUGCUCCAGUAAAUAAACGCCAGAUAGAAUUUCCACAAUACAUUUUCCCAACUCUUGAAAAUAACUCCUAGAAUACUUGAUCUUCAGUGGUUCUACUGACUUAUGGUGAAAAGGUAAAUUUCCAUGCUCCAAAGAAUUCCCAGGUGCUCCAGAGGUUACUCCGUCCUGAUUCUUCAAUCUGACAGAAAAUAGGUAUUCUUGCCACAGAAGUUUCACAAGAAUAUUGUCCACAAGACUGACUUGAAAAUGAUGUGUGGAAUCUGAAUCAUCACAAAUCCUGACAUCAAAAGAGUUAGAAUACCAUAAAACUAAAACAAAUACCCAAAAAUACUAAACAAGAUCACCAGAUCCAUCAUUGGACACAAGCAAUUGUAUGAAACUGAAGAUAGAAUGUCAUGAGAACAGCUAAGCAAAAUCGCACCUAGAUGCAUUACAUAGCCCCCAUAGAAAACAUUCUUUAAGUGCACGAAAAAAUGCUAGACGAUCCGGAUUUGUUGCAUUGGAUGGGUUCCUUCCAUCCCAUAGGUUUUGGAAAAAAUCAAUAAAAAACUUUUCUCCAGAGAUUGCUUUUGGAGGCAGAAUGUCUAGCAAUAUAACUAGAGCAGGAUAAGAGACCUGCUGAGAUCCAAAGCACCCAUUUCUAAGAAAAUGCCACAACCGGUUUAUUGCAGUUUUCUGAACAUUGAACGAAGUCCAGCUGUCAGGAAAUCUUUUUGAAAAUAAUAAUAUUGCAUCCCACAUUGAUGAAUGACAAGUAGGAUCCUUUUCCUGAAAAGCACCAAGUAUUGCAGCUGCAAGAGUUUUCAUAUUUCCUUCAUUAAAAGCAUCAGGAAUAUUUUUAAUGAAACUCUUUAAUGCAGAAUAUGUCGCUGACCGGAUUGCAGGGGUUUUGGACUUCAGAAAGUCAAGAAAAUAGUUCUGAGUAGAAAACAACUUUUCACCAAAAGAAAUAGCAGUUUCCCUAGCCUUUGAAGCAUGUUUUGGUUCUGAGGAUAUGUUCUCAAAACCAGGUCUCUCAGAUUGCAUACAGACCAAAACAUCAAGAAGAGUGGCCAAUGCCAGUAAUGACGAAGAUAUCACCUAAAAUCACACAAAAAAAAGUACCAACAAAUUCAUUAGUGGGAAAACAGCAAAACAGGGGCUACGUAAAGCAAACCCAGUAGCAACAAUUGAGGUAUGAUUUUGAGCACAGAAACAUCAGGUUUUAGAAAACACACCAGCUUUUAGAAGGAAAAAAAAACCAUGAUUUUGACUAUUAUCAGUCUUUCAUUUCAAAGAUAACAUAAAAAAUAAAAAAUUUUAAAUUUAAUUAGUCAAAACUCAAAUUUCAAUUCUAAACAAAUUUUAUAUAUUCAAGGAUUAUCCAAGAAUAUUUUGAUCAAGAUACACAUUUUUACAUCACAUGAACUGAUUUGCUUUGAACUUAAUGUUUACUGUCAUUGAAGUAAACCCUUUACAGUUUUUCCUUUCUGUCAUUUUAUGUUCAUUUUCUCCAUCAUUCAAGCUGCAGAUGGUAUGUUUUAAUAGCAUAUUGAAAAACAAAAGACAGAGAACAAAUAAGUGGUAAAAAAAUAUAGUUAAUCAAUCAAAGGGAUAGAAACAAAGAAUCAUAGCAUACCUGCUGGUACAUCUCUUCUAAUUCAUCCAAAGCAGUUACUUUAUCUGAUGACAUACUUUGUGGUGUGUGAUUCAGGUUUUCUUCCAAAUACAUAAAUAUCUCAGAUGUGCAUAGAAUUAAGGCAUCUAAUCUCUUUUCCUGAGCUGGGAAGGCUGCCUGUUGCACACAAUAUACAGUAAGACCAUAACAAAUUCAUUAGCAACAAAAACUUGAACAUUAGUUGCUUACUCAAAGCUCACAUGAGCUAUCAUACAUUAAAGGACUGUGCCCCAGAAAUAAAUGGAAGUAAAAGUUCAUGAAGAAGCCAGUAACACUUUGCAAAUACCAAUUAAACAUACUAAUUCUUUUCUGAAAGGAAUAAAACUAAAAUAUUUGUACCAGAGUAAUCACGAUCAAAAACCAAUAUAUAUAAAUAUCAGUCAAUUUAUUUUCUGCUAACCAUGAGUAUCCUUAGAUACUUAGACAGAAUGCAAAAUGUCACUAAUCAGAUAUUCAUACUUUGUAUGUAUAAUCAGGUAUUCACAAUGCAAAAUGACAGAGAACAAUUGUCCCAGGAGUUUAUAGACCAGAUUGACAAGGUCAAGCCCGAAAAGAAGUCCUUGAAGAAACCAAGAAGCAUCUCAUAUGAAACUUAAAGUUACUGUUUUUCUAUUUUAAUUAUUUUGCUAGUUAAUUUUGGAUUUUAAUUUUUUGUUUCCCACUUAGCUUAGGACUUUUAAUUUAAUUAGUAUUUUACUAUUUAGGAAUCUUAAUGCUAGAUGAAUUCUAUUAAUUAGGUAAGUUUUAAUUAGGAAUCUUUUCCUUUAAAGGAUUUUAGUAAUAAUAUAAAUAGGGAUGUCUAGUUUAUUUUAUAGAGAUCAAGACUAUUAUUCACAUUUAAUAAAAAUAUCAGAGAAUUUUCCCUAGAUUUCUCAACAAUUUGGUUUGUAACCUUAGGUCUUGAGAACCCUAGUUUUAUCUUCGUUGUAUGUUGCGUCACAAAAUUUUGAAAAAGAAUAUAUUCCUACUCUUUGUAUAAUCAGAUAUUCACGAUGCAAAAUUUCAGAAAAGAAUAUCAGAAAUUCUGAGUAAUUUCCAGACAAAUAUAACCAAAGUUGUGUUAGACUGAACCAGAAUGCAGGCCCACAUUAUAAAACAGGUCAACCCCAUCAAUCUUCCAGAAUACUGACUGGAGUGCCACCCAGCUUGAUUUUCAUUUAACUCUAUUUGAACAGGCUUAAUCAAAUAAAUUAUCAGUGUGUUUCUUCCCCUCUUAUAGAUCAUGAAAAUUUCGAUAUUCACACCAGCAAACUGCUUUUUCAGCAUCUGUCUGCUAUUUUAUUGGCAGAUUCCUUAUCUGCCACUUCUAGCAAAAGAAACAAUGGCAACCUUCUAAAGCUUGAAUGAAAUGAUAGCAAACCUCCAAUGAUCUUUUGGCAGCUAAAGAAACUUCAGGAACUGUAUCAAAUUGAGAAAACCACCACGGUCCCAUCAAAGACUUCAGAUACGGAGCUAAAUCUCUUCUGAGAAAAAAUAAGAUCCACAGCAAGUUAUUAGCAUGGACUAAGAAUCAUGCACCCUUAAACAAUCAUAUUAAAAAGAAGCUAAAACAUUCUAACAAUCUGCCAACAUGAUGGCAUCAGAAAAGGUAGAAUACAAAGGAUGUACAGAAUUCCAUCCAUUUACUAAUAUUUCCAAACAGUUCUUAUUUUACAGUAGGGAAAAUCAAAAGUCCCCAGUAAGAAUUAUGAAUGAGAAAUGUCCUUUACCCAACUGCUGUAACAAGAUUUGUCAUGGUCUCAUUUGUGGCUCGUCGAACUUCUCUAUUAUAGUCCAACAACAGCUUCUUGUAUUCAUAACCCUGAAUGCAAAAUAACAUUCAAAAAAUGUGAACUGAAUAAAGUUUUCUUCAAAUAAGAGUGAGACAGAGGAAAUAGAAAACCAAAAAGAAGAAAAGAAACUAUACCCAUUGUGGAAUAAUCAGAACUAUUUCCUUUCCAGACUUUUCCUUGAACAGAGCAGAUAGAGUUUGCAAAGCUUUAAGCUGUCCAAAACAUUAAAAACACCACAAUAAGCUUCUUCUACUACUACUAUGCAGUAAUUCAUAAAGCAUGAUCAAAUAUUCCCUUUUCUUUUGUUCAUCUUAACAAAAAGUGGGAUAUAUCUUACCUUUGUAGUAGGAUCCUUCCUUCCUAAUCGCUUUACAUGUUGUGCCACUUCGCCAUCUAUAUCCUACAAACAACCCAACCAAAAAUUUUUUUAAAAAAAAAUCCAAGAAACCAUUAUAGCAAUAAGCUUCCAUUUUUACACCUUCAGCAUACAAAUAAUCACUAUCAGCUUCACUAAUUACAUGAAUCACCAACAAAACCAAUCCAUAUCACAAAACCUGCAUUUAAAAGCGCUUUUCAGAAGCACAAAAUUGGUCUUUUUUCAGGCGGAAAGCACUUUACGUCCCAAAAGCAACAAACUUUCUAAAACUUCUGUUAGAAAAUCCCUAAAUUAAUAUCAUUUAGGCACAAAUAAUCACUAAUUACAAGAAUUAACUAACAAAACCAAUGCCAAUUUAAUUUAACUUCAGCAGAAGCAUAAAGCACGCAUACCAAAAAGGCGGUAGUAUCAUCUGUAUCAAAACGAGAGCUACCAAUAUAACCACCGAACCCCACCGUUACCGCCGCCGGACCCGACGGCACUAGAGACGCCGCAAGACUGCAAAAUCAUAUCAGAAAAUCACAAAACUAUCAUUUAAUUAAAAAAAAACUUAAUUUCUCUUUAAGAUUUAAUAUAAAAAAAAUAACUAGCUAAUUAAUUAAUUACCUGCUACUGGAAGCGCGAGACUUGCUUCUGUUAGCAGCUGCUUCUCCUUUCUGUCUGCCCAUUUUCUUCGCCCUCUAUUUGUUCUUAAACGAAGCGUCUCCGGAGAAGGAUGAUUUUUGGAGGUUUUAGCGAGAGAGAGAGAGAGAUUUUCUGAAUUUGAAGCUGGAGAUACUUUUCUAGCACGGAAGGAGAAAGGAGGGCUAAGUGUUUGAACGACAUGUCAUUUUUCAUGGAACCCAUUGGAUGAUGAGUCGUCUAGUCUGAUUUGGGGGAGCAUGGGUGUAUAUGUUUUUUUCUUGAAGAUUGAUUUUUUUAUAAAUACAACGAUAAGAGUAUUUUAAAACUUUUUUCAUGAUAAGUUUCUUUUCUUAUAAUAUUUUAUUAUAUUUAAAUAUGAGACUAUGUAAAAUUAAAUAUUAUUUUUCUUCAAGCAUAUUAAUUCAAUAGUUUGUUAUUCAUCCUUUAAAAAAAAAGAGAAUGAAUCAUUAGUCUUUUAAAUAUUGUGAAUUGUACAUGCUAAUUUAAUUACUAAUUAGAUUUAUGUGGAUUAGAAUUGUUUGAUUAUUAAUACUUUUAAUUAUAAUAUAGUUAUUGAUUGGACAUUGAAUCUUUGUAACUUGAUUGGUUUAAUGCAUAUAGAACAUCUAAAUAUAAUAAUGAUAUUUUUUUUACUUUAAAAAUAUAAAAAUUACUUAAAACAUUUUAUAGAGAGAAAUUAAUUUUAUAUUUUUGUCCUUGUCUUUUCAUCAAGCAUAUUUUCAUGUUCUAUAUAUUUAUUAUUUUCAGACACUAACUAAAUAUAUAGAUGUUGAGUUGUGAAAUUGCUCAAGUGUUAUUACUCCAUUUGGUGAUUAUAUCAAGCAAUAAAUAACAGGAAAUUAGGGCAAACAAUUCCUCUAAUCCAAAUGGACUCGAGUAACCUGAUAAAUCUACCUACAACUUGAUUAACUUCAUCAAACUUGAAUGAGACUUGAUCAAGUUAACUAUAAUGAAUUUUUUAAGAAAAUUGGAAUGAUUAUUUUUAAACAAAUAAUUAACUCAGGUCGACUUGAUGAUUUACAGGUUAACUUGGCAAUCCAAUGAUAGAAGCCCUGAAUUGAGUCAGAUCCCAUGCCAGGUUAGACAACUAUCGCCAAGAUCAUUGCUUCGCAUGUCCAAUGUGGGAUCAUGAAGCACAAGAUUGCCAGUUUUGUUACUUUUGUAGACUGAAUUCUUAGAAGCUGUAUUUCUAGCCAGUACGAGAGAAGAGUUGAGAGUGAGAGUUGUACACAUACAAAUCGGAAAAAUGCUAUAAAUUAUUUUUUGUUCUUUCAAAGAAAUAAUAUAUGCAUUCUCGUGUGAGCAUGGAGAAAUUGAUGUACAAAUGUAAAUGCUCAGAGUCCAAUUUUUAUUGUCCAUAUAAGAAAAUUACAAUCAAAGAUGCAAUCAAGGAAUGAUCUACAGAUCCAGGAAAUAUGGUUAAUCGAUAUUUACUCCGCCGGGCAUAAAUCUGGUGAAGCUUGUACAUGAGACUAGUCUGCAUCAAACCAAAUGUGAUAUUAGAAUCUGUAUUUGAUAUCACAAAACAGUGAUCAUAACAUGAACUUCCCAUAUCAUGAAAAGCAGGAACUUCUAAUGCAAGAGAUUAAGCAGAAUCCAUGGCUGGUGAGCUAUAUACAGACCAUAAACAGAAGGAAACCAUUUUAACAGGACUGAACAGCGAUGACUUUAAUGAAUAGUUCGAGAAAAGCAUCCAUUAAGAUUGGAAAGAAGAGAAAAAUCCAUCGCAACAGAAUAAUAUAUGCACAUGAAUAGCACAAAGCACCCUGAUGUGGAGUGAUUGACAUCGAACAUUAUAGAUACUGCUGUGAUUAUCUACCUAAAUAUGGGGUAGAUAAUUCAAAUGCAGAGGCAAGUACAGAAAAUGAGUUUAAAGCAAUCUUCAAAGAAGAUGAAUAAUCCAUAAUUAAGCUAGCUUGCGAAAGUUGAAGCAGCUUAUCAGGAUUUUUUUAAGCGAAAAAGGAAAGAUUAAAACAAAACGAUUUUUAUUCUUCCAACUAAAUAUAGUAAUUGUUGAUAAUGUUCAUUUCACAUCUACGGGCAAUAUUCUAA